AUUGAACGCUGGCGGCAGGCCUAACACAUGCAAGUCGAGCGAGCGGCGGACGGGUGAGUAAUGUAUGGGGAUCCGCCCGAUAGAGGGGGAUAACCACUGGAAACGGUGUCUAAUACCGCAUACUAUCGGAUGAACCCAUAUGGGAUUAGCGAGUAGGUGGGGGAAAGGCUCACCUAGGCGACGAUCUCUAGCUGGUCUGAGAGGAUGACCAGCCACACUGGAACUGAGACACGGCCCAGACUCCUACGGGAGGCAGCAGUGGGGAAUAUUGCACAAUGGGCGCAAGCCUGAUGCAGCCAUGCCGCGUGUAUGAAGAAGGCCUUCGGGUUGUAAAGUACUUUCAGCGAGGAGGCGUUACCCGCAGAAGAAGCACCGGCUAACUCCGUGCCAGCAGCCGCGGUAAUUC
rnacentral:rRNA from 1 species